CAGAAAGUAGUUUAAUUCAGAAUACCAGCUUUGGGAGUUGGAGGUAGAGGUUUGAUUCCUUUCUUUCUGA
rnacentral:tRNA from 1 species